rnacentral:lncRNA from 1 species
GUCCUUAUAUAGGGAUAAUUAAGCUAGAAGGGGGGUUGAAUAGCUUAAUCACCAGUUUAAAAACUUUAUGGCGUUUUAAAAAGUUUAUCCCCUUUUUAAAAGCUUGUAUCAAGAGUAAUGGUAGUUGUAAAUGCGGAAGCAAAAAGCAAAGAAAGAAAAAUACCACACGAGGGAUUUUAUCCUGGUUCGCGGUGGCUAACUCAACCGAUGGAGUCCACUCACCCCUAGUCCAGUCCCCGAGCUCCUCCCCGGACUCGAGAUUUUCUCUACUAAAAAGAUACUCCUUUAAAGUAGGCGGAGAAGCCUUUACAAAUAUAUAUCUUGGAGCGUAACUUCCCGUUACCUCCUCACUAUAAAUGUAAAAACACCUACAAAGCUUGUCUCGGAACGUAACUCCCCGUUACUUCCUCAAAGUCGAUGUAGAACCUUGUGUAGUCUUUGUACUUCUACACCUUUUGCCGGUCUCGGAUCUUAGGUACUAAAUCUCAGGUCUUUCCUCUUCUUCACGGUGCAAUGACUAUUAACUCCCCGUCAAUACGUCAAGGACUUGGGUCUUAGAACGAAGAACACCUCACUUCACUUCACCUCACUGCAAAAGUUAGAACACAAUAUCUACGAAAAUAUAUCCUUGUUUUAAUUAAGAUUUUUUGUCCGCUAAGUCAGUCCAAUAAUCACGGUCAGGUAUAAGGUUCGUCAAUUAUAACAAAACUAACGGUGAUUAGUCCAACAAUUUAUCUCGCGCGGAAAAUAUAAAUAGUUGAUUUUAAAUCGGAUUGAUUUUAAUAACCUGAGCAAGCCACGUAUGGGCAAGCUACGAGAGUUAUAUUAAUUAGUGUUGAGUGAUUUAUAGAUAUAAUACGCAGUCGAUAAUCACACUCACACACACGGGAUCGGGAACCGCUAAACUCGUAAGGUUAGUAUUUCCACGAAGCACAACACAUAUGGAAACGUUCACCAAAUGAGAAAGGGUAUGUUGGGCGUAGGGAUAUAACAGUUAAGCACAGAUAACACGCACAACAAUAACUAACUUAUUACCUUUGGCCUUAUAUCCGGCUUUCCGUGCCAAGGCAAAGAUCCCCCCAAAGUUUGGUGAGGAAAUCUCAAAGGAUACGAGUUAGGUUCCGGGACAAAACACACGCACAAAUAUAUAACGACUGGCUAACUCGUGUGUUUUGUAAACAAAGAGAGCUUUAAAGAUGAAGAGAGUAUUUUUGUUCAAAAGCCCUUUGUCAAAAAUGGUCGGUUAAGAUACGAGUAAAAUGAAGCUAAAAUAACCACUUACAAAAAGUUCGCCGGAAAAAUUCGUCGGAGGUUCGACCGGAUUUUGGCUUUGCACACGAACUUUGGAGAGCCCUUCGGGAGGACAAAACGAGUGGUAUGAAAAUGAGCUAAGCGAGAUUUGGCUAGGUUGGGUGGUACGAAGCCUCGGGGUUUAAAACCUUGUGUAUAUAACGAAGUAUAUGAAGAAUCGAAGGUUUUAAAGGUGAAGUAAAUAUGGUGGGUGCUUGAAUAAACUUUGGGAGAGUAUUUUCACUUCAAAAUCUCAGCAUAUAUUUGGCUCUUAGCUUAAAGAAAAUGGGUGGGGG